rnacentral:rRNA from 1 species
AUUGAACGCUGGCGGCAUGCCUUACACAUGCAAGUCGAACGGCAGCGCGGGGCAACCUGGCGGCGAGUGGCGAACGGGUGAGUAAUAUAUCGGAACGUACCCUGGAGUGGGGGAGUAACGUAGCGAAAGUUACGCUAAUACCGCAUACGAUCUAAGGAUGAAAGUGGGGGAGUCGCAAGACCUCAUGCUCCUGGAGCGGCCGAUAUCUGAUUAGCUAGUUGGUAGGGAAAGCCUACCAAGGCAUCGAUCAGUAGCUGGUCUGAGAGGACGACCAGCCACACUGGAACUGAGACACGGUCCAGACUCCUACGGGAGGCAGCAGUGGGGAAUUUUGGACAAUGGGGGCAACCCUGAUCCAGCAAUGCCGCGUGAGUGAAGAAGG